AAACCCGGAUCUAAUUGAUCACUAAUGGUGGAAACUCAACUCACACUUGAAUAAUAUCAAGUCUUGAGUUCAAUGGUGAAAGUACACUAUUAGAGUGAUUGAAGUACUUGAUAAUAGAUCCUACAUCCCAAGGGGUAAAAGUACUUGGACCAUAAGAUUAAAAGUGGUAGGAUGAGGUUUUCCUCUUAAUAGACAUAUAGCAUAUAUUUGCUUGAAUGCAUAAUUAUGGGUGCAUUUAUGAUAUAGUCUACCUAUAUGAGAAUGAAGUUAGGCCGCUUCAUAGAGUUCAAGGGUUUGACUCUUAAAUUCUCAUGAAAAGGAUACAUGACACAAGGCCCUAUUAAAUGUGUCAAAUUUAAUAAUUCUUUUGAUAACACCGAGAUUUCAUGUGUAAGUUAUGCACACUUGUUCAAAUGAAUAGU
rnacentral:lncRNA from 1 species